rfam:Oryza rufipogon genomic scaffold, chr07
UUCAAGUGCAAUUGUGAGUUUCCGUAUUCAAUGUUUGACUGUCUAUCUUAUUUAAUUUUUUUUAUGAUUAAUACUUUUAUUGUUAUUAGAUGAUAAAUUAUAAAUAAUAUUUUAUGUGUGACUUUAUUUUUUAAUUUUUUUUAUAAAAUUUUAAAUAAGAUGGAUGGUCAAAUAUUGGACACCAAAACUUACAACCACACUUAAA